GGAUGUCAGUUUGGGUAAGUGGCAUGGAAAUGUCUACCGCGGAGGGUGAAAGUCCCGUCCAGCCCAUUCAGGACAUUUCGCACGAAGUUGCUCAUAUGAGUCGUGUAGCUUGGGAAUGCUGCGCUAAGUCGGUGGUAAAUCUCAUCGAAGGCUAAAUACUGGUAGGAGACCGAUAGUGAACAAGUACCGUGAGGGAAAGAUCAAAAGCACUUUGAAAAGAGGGUGAAAAGAACCUGAAACCGUUACGAAAGAAGCGUAUUGCGUUGAAUUGAUGGCUGUUUAACUCUUCAGCUGGGCGUGAGUCUAGUGUACUGAGCUAAGUAGUUAUCCGUCGUGCCUUUUCUGUGGCUGAUUUUGAGCCGCGGGAGAGGGAGGGAUCCCCUUUAUGGGUGAGGACGAUGGAGUGGCAACGCGAUGCGACCCGUCUUGAAACACGGACCAAGGAGUCUAAUACGUUUGCGAGUUGAAGGGUGGUAAACCUGGAGGCGCAGUGAAAGCGAACUUCUAAAACGGACAGUUUGUGGCGGCAUAAAAUCGUUGAUUUUAGGUCUGACUAAGAGCAAAUGUGUUAGGACCCGAAAGAUGGUGAACUAUGCUUGAGUAGGCCGAAGGCAGAAGAAAUUCUGCUGGAGGGCCGAAGCGGUGCUGACGUGCAAAUCGCUCGUCGAACUCGAGUAUAGGGGCGAAAGACUAAUCGAACCAUCUAGUAGCUGGUUCCCUCCGAAGUUUCUCUCAGGAUAGCGGGCCGACAAUUAUUGUUUUGUGCGGUAAAGCGAAUGAUUAGCGCACUCGGGGGCAUUCAGCCUUCGGUCGAUUCUCAAACUUUUAAUGCGCAAGGGUGCUGCAGCUUAGGUGUGCGGCACCUUUAAAAAUGUCGGCCUUGUGGGCCACUUUUGGUAAGCAG
rnacentral:rRNA from 1 species